rnacentral:rRNA from 1 species
AGAGUUUGAUCCUGGCUCAGAAUGAACGCUGGCGGCGUGCUUAACACAUGCAAGUCGCACGAGAAAGCUCCGAGCUUGCUUGGGGCGAGUAAAGUGGCGCACGGGUGAGUAACGCGUGGAUAAUCUACCCCCGAAUCUGGGAUAACACUUCGAAAGGGGUGCUAAUACCGGAUGACAUCACGGGGACUUCGGUUUCUGUGAUCAAAGAUGGCCUCUACAUGUAAGCUGUUGUUUGGAGAUGAGUCCGCGUACCAUUAGCUUGUUGGCGGGGUAACGGCCCACCAAGGCGACGAUGGUUAGCUGGUCUGAGAGGAUGAUCAGCCACACUGGCACUGAUACACGGGCCAGACUCCUACGGGAGGCAGCAGUGAGGAAUUUUGCGCAAUGGGGGAAACCCUGACGCAGCAACGCCGCGUGAGUGAAGAAGGCUUUCGGGUCGUAAAGCUCUGUCAAGUGGGAAGAAACCUCUCAAGGUUAAUAGCCUUGAGAAUUGACGGUACCACUGAAGGAAGCACCGGCUAACUCCGUGCCAGCAGCCGCGGUAAUACGGAGGGUGCAAGCGUUAUUCGGAAUUACUGGGCGUAAAGGGCGCGUAGGCGGCCUGAUAAGUCAGCUGUGAAAGCCCGGGGCUCAACCCCGGAAGUGCAGUUGAAACUGUCAGGCUUGAGUAUGGUAGAGGGAAGUGGAAUUCCUGGUGUAGCGGUGAAAUGCGUAGAUAUCAGGAGGAACACCGGUGGCGAAGGCG